GGGGAUUAGUUGAAAGGCAUAGGGGUAAAGUGGUAAAAACACAGAUGAGGUUAUUGUUGAGGAAGUUACCCCAUUACCUUCACAAACACAGAAACGAAAAGGGCUUGUAAAUCCCUAAAUCAAGCUCCCUUAUUCAUCUUCAUCAAUGGUGGCAGCGAUUUCGGCUUACCGGCAGAGGAAACGGCGGCGUGAUUCGUGACUGGUAAUCCGACGGCUCGGAUUCAUGGUUCAAGCAUUGUUGGUCGUCUCCUUCCUCUUUCUUCUCCGACGAGCGACGACGACAAUGGCGGCAAAAGUAAACGACUCACUGUUUUGACGCUUGAGACCAUUGGGAUUGAAACGGAUUAGGUCAAUUCUACUUUUGGUGCAACUCCUGUAUUGAAAAAAAAACCUGCAUGAUGAUUCAGAAGCUUUUGGAGAGCUAGAUACAUUAUAGUUCCCUGUGUGGUAUAAAAGUCUUUCUUCAGUUUCCUCAUCAUUCUAUGAAUUUCGUACACAUCUUCUAUCUUGCAAUGAAAAUUCAAAUGCCCUUUUGCAAGCAUGAAGGAAUCUUCACGGUCAAGUUUGUGCCUUAGCAAAUCAGCAGCAGUCCAACACAGAGAUAAUUGAAAAGCAUUUGCGAUUGUGAAUUAGUGACAUGCAUGAACAUGUAACUAUACUAGCACUAUAUUUUCUGCUUCCAGAUUUAACCCCUGGUUUUGUUGCAUUGUUGACUGCACUAAUAUUUUCUGCAUACCAGGCAGGCUUAAGAUUCUAAUCAAAACCAGUCUGAUGUAAGAUUUUUGUUUACUGAAAUUUCUUUUUGGGCUUUGGUUCAAUGGCAUGAAUUACAAAAUUAAAUGAGCAUGAAUGCAGAACUAUCGAUAGUAUGUUUACUGACAUUUCCUGAUUUAUCAAAUGCAAAUUUUAUUAAGUAG